rnacentral:misc_RNA from 1 species
GUAUUACACAUCCCCAGACACAUUCUCAGAAGGUGUAUUUGUGUGACAAACGGGUACUUGUAGUCACGAGGACGGCACAAGUAACGGGGAGAGCACACCCAGUGCGAGGUUUGCCACGUGUCACCACUCCGCUUCUCGAACCAUGCUCGCUGCGCUCACAGGCCGAAUUGGAGACAGAACACGAUUGCGUCCACCGCGGCGUGUUGUGCUUGUGCACUACCAGUGGUGGACUACAGUGGUGUAGAGGAAGAAGAGUUAUUUUUGGGGGGAGGCAAAUAUUUAAAGUCGUCUUGAUUCUGUUGUUAGAAUCUAUCAGUUACUUAAAACUAUGGUAUACUACUUAGACUUUAGUUGGAAGAAUAGUGGUGACACGAAAUCCACACAACUCUCGACAUUGUAUAGAAAGGUAACGGAUUUUAUUACAU